rnacentral:rRNA from 1 species
CGUUCGCGGCGCGCCUAACACAUGCAAGUCGCACGAGAAAAGGGCUUCGGCCCCGGUACAGUGGCGCACGGGUGAGUAACACGUGGGUAAUCUUCCCUCGAGCGGGGGAUAACAUUCCGAAAGGAGUGCUAAUACCGCAUAAGACCACGGCCUCGAAAGAGGCUGCGGUCAAAGCUGGCCUCUAUACAUAAGCUAGCACUUGAGGAUGAGCCCGCGGCCCAUCAGGUAGUUGGUAGGGUAACGGCCUACCAAGCCGAAGACGGGUAGCUGGUCUGAGAGGAUGAUCAGCCACACUGGAACUGAGACACGGUCCAGACUUCUACGGAAGGCAGCAGUGGGGAAUCUUGCGCAAUGGGCGAAAGCCUGACGCAGCGACGCCGCGUGAGUGAUGAAGGCCUUCGGGUUGUAAAGCUCUGUGGGGAGAGAAGAAUUAGUGCGGGCUAAUACUCCACAUGAUGACGGUAUCUCCUUAGCAAGCACCGGCUAACUCUGUG